CCCUUAGAUGUUCUGGGCCGCACGCGUGCUACACUGAGUGGAUCAGCGGGUCAGGUUGCGCGAAAGUGUUUCCUAAUCUUGAAAUCCGCUCGUGAUGGGGAUUGACGUUUGCAAUUUUCCGUCAUGAACGAGGAAUACCUUGUAAGCGCGGGUCAUCAUCCCGCGCUGAAUACGUCCCUGCCCUUUGUACACACCGCCCGUCGCUCCUACCGAUUGAGUGGUCCGGUGAGGCUUUGGGAUCUGAGCGGAAAGAGCGUUUCGCUGUUUCUGCUCGGAAAACUCAGUCGAACCUUAUCAUUUAGAGGAAGGAGAAGUCGUAACA
rnacentral:rRNA from 1 species